UAACUGCCGAUGCAGAGCCACAGAGAAGCCGAAGAGGCUCCCUGGCUCGCCCUCCUUUCUCAGGGCGCCCAUCACAUCCAGAUUGAAGGCGACAGCCCCUGGGGAGAGCAGUCCGAGGAGCAGGGAACCAAGAAGAGCCACAGACAAUAGAGAAGGGCUGAAGUGAAAACACAGAAGAGUAAAAUCAAGAUAGAACCUGGAACUCCCAACUCAGCCCAGCCAGAAUCGGAAUGCCUUUAGAACCCCGACUGCCUUCCUCUCUGCACCUGCAGCUUCUGCCUCCCUCCAGCUCCACUCCACUGGCUCUUGCUAAAUCCAAGGCUGAAAUCAGAUGCUAAGAAUCUACUUCUGACCUCCUCUGCCCAAAUAUUUGAGAAGUCACCUCAUGGCCACAGGAGGAAAGAGCAGGAAAGAAGAGAGAAAGGCCACCCAAAAUUAGCCUGGCUAUAAAUAGUGGGGCAGAGGAAGGCGGGGACAUGCAAGGGCCCUAGAGCAGCCUGGUUAAGUUUAGACAUGUAGAUUUUCCUGAAGGAGAAGUGAGACCAAUUGUUGGAGUGGAGAGCAAUAUCAUAGGAAUAUUGUAGAUGAAGGGGGGAAUGAAGAUUCUAGAAGUAUCCCAAGACUGGAGGAAGUUGAACAUUAGAAUAAACAACCUGUCAGAGAACUUCUUGUAUUUGAGUCGAGAGUUUAGGAAUUCAUUAAAUUAAAGCUAGUGCUGACGCUAUUUGAUUCCACUCAUUAAAACAUUGUAAAAAUGAUAAAACUAUAAAGAUGAAGAACAGAUUAGUGAUUGCCAGGGGACAGGAAUAGGAGGAGUGAAUAUAAAAGGAUAGCACUGGGAGUUACUUUGUGGUGAUGAAGGAAUUCUGUACCUUGAUUUUGGCAAUGGUUAUUUGAAUCUAUCCAAAUAAAUUGGAAUAAAAUUA